rnacentral:lncRNA from 1 species
UUCUUUUCAGCAGAUACUGUUAAAGAUAUACACAGAAUAGCAAACCCCACUUCCUGCUAAGGUGAAUUUUACUUUUAAUGUAGUCCUUCAUCUCAGAUUUGCACAAGGGCUGGUAAACUUAGAUAUUUUCACCCCAAAAUGCUCUUGAGUAAGAGCCAAGCCCAGCUGCGUAGUGAGUUAGAAGAACUUCCUCUUUGUGGAAUGUACUGAUGGCAUCAAGGGAGCACAACUCCUAGGAGGACACAUUUACAAAGCUCCCUGCCUUGUGAUUACCAUAUUAACCCAUCUUUGCUCUGCCUUAUACCAAUAUGAUCCACAGGCCACUGUAAGGAGCAGUUAUUUAGCCUCGACAGGGCAGGGGAUUUUAGUCUGAAUCAUUGCUGAAUCUCCAGUCCCUGCAAAACAACCUGCACAUUGCAUGAGGAAAGGCCAUGUGAAGAUAAAGAAAAGGCUGCCAUCUCCAGGUCAGGAAGAGAGGUCUCACCAGAAACCAACUUGGACUUCUAGCAUCUAGAACUAUGUUUAUUGUAAGGAUUAAAUCAGCUAAACCAAGAAAAGCCUCAGGGAUGGUGCCUGGCAAACUGCACGCUGUUAAUACAUGUUAGUGGACCCUUCUCCACACCUUCCUGCUACACUAAAGCAGAGAGAAUUACCUCCUGAAU